GUUCUUCAAACUAUAAAUUUCCUUGGAAGCGUUUCAGUAUCUAUUUAGUUAGCUACAUGCUUGUGACGUGUUAUUUUCUUAAAGCAACCUACGAGGAAAAUAUGGUAACCUUUAAUUAAUUCUCAUUAGGGGAUAGGGAUAUGUGAAAGAACGUCCGACAAGAGCGAAGGCCCCUGCACCCUCCUCCUGCCUCUGCCUUAUGAGCAAAUAGCUGCACUCCUCUGAGGCUCAAUUUCCUUAGCAGUAAAAAGGUGAGGAAACUGAGACAGACAUAAGAGAGAUUAAGAAAUUUGACUCAGAUCACACAGCUGGCCUGUUUUCCAUCAAUGACAACUUCAGAAAUGAACAGGCAAGUCUGCUG
ensembl:lncRNA